UACGAAGGGGGCUAGCGUUGCUCGGAAUGACUGGGCGUAAAGGGCGCGUAGGCGGUUUAGACAGUCAGAUGUGAAAUUCCCGGGCUUAACCUUGGGGCUGCAUUUGAUACGUCUAGGCUUGAGUGAGGAAGAGGGUUGUGGAAUUCCCAGUGUAGAGGUGAAAUUCGUAGAUAUUGGGAAGAACACCGGUGGCGAAGGCGGCAACCUGGUCCUUUACUGACGCUGAGGCGCGAAAGCGUGGGGAGCAAACAGGAUUAGAUACCCUGGUAGUCCACGCUGUAAACGAUGUGUGCUGGAUGUUGGGUGACAUAGUCAUUCAGUGUCGUAGCUAACGCGAUAAGCACACCGCCUGGGGAGUACGGCCGCAAGGUUGAA
rnacentral:rRNA from 1 species